AGGUCCCACAGAGUAAUCAAGUUACAGAAUGACUGCACUAAGAAGGUGAUGAGGAAGAGAAAUAGGAAGAAGAAGGGGAAGAAGAUGAGGAAGCAGAGAAGGAGCUACCGCUGCUGCUACUACUGCAGGAGUGCUGGCCGUAACCCUUACGAUGGAUGAGAAAAGGCAUCACACCUUUUUGCCCUCCCAUUCCCAAUUAAGAACUAUAAAGUGUAAAGAGAAAAUUAAUUUUCCUCUGCUACAUUACACAAUGUUAGCUACAAUAAAAAGCACAAGCCAAUUAUUCAACGAUGGAAAGAUAUUAGCUAUCAAGCCGUGAAAAAACAUGGAGUACCCUUAAUGCAUAUUGCUAAGUGAAAAUGAAGCCAUCCUCAGAGGGUUAACAAGAAUUCUGAACAGAAAUACGUUAUAAUUAAGCAUUAAUUAGGCUGCACUUUGCUCCACUCCCUUGUAACCAAAAGUCACGUAGUACCACAUACGGACCACAUACAUCCCCAUUGUUCUUAUAGAUAAGAUCUCUGAUGUUAGAAUUACAAGGCUUUUGUUUAAGAAUUGCUUAACAUGUUUCCAGAUUCCGAAUUCCAGUGGCCCCCUUAUAGAGAAACUGAAUCAGCAUGAGAAUAGUUUCUUCAUCUCCCUGUCCCAUGAGAUAAUGGACUCUUUCCAAUCAAUGAUCGCCACAUUCCAGCCCACUCCAAAAACCUUAAAAACCUUAGCCCCAGACUCCUCUGGGAGACGAUUCUGAGAUUUCCUCCUGUCUCCUCAUUCGGCGGCCCUCCAAUGAAACCUCUUUCUCUGCAGCAACCUGGUGUUUCGGCGACUUGACUUGUCACGUACAUCACACAAUGAAUCUAUCAUGUUUACAAAAGAAGCCAAUCUGAAAAGGCAACAUACUGUAUGAUUCCAACUAUAUGACAUUCUGGAAAAGGCAAAACUAUGGUGACAGUAUAAGAUCAGUGGUUAGCGGCGAGAAAGGAAUGAAUAGAUGGAGCGCAGGGCAGUGAAACUAUUCUGUGUGAUGCUGUAACGGUAGAUACAUGUCAUGCACUUGCUGAAAACCACAGAAUAUACAAUACCGGGAGUGAACCUUACUGUAAACUAUGGACUUGAGUUAAUUAACGGUGGAUCAACAUUGCCUCAUCAAUUGCAAUAAAUGUACCAUACUAACGCAAGAUGUUAACAGGGGAAACUAGACGGGGGGAAGGAAAGGAGGGGCAUAUGGAAACUCUGUACUUUCCCCUCAAUUUUUUGUAAGCCUAAAACAGCUCCAAAAAAUAAGGCCUAUUUAAUUUAAAAAAAAAAUUGUAAAAGCUGUCUUUCUUUUCAUGUAAUUUGAGAGGAUAUUUCCUCAACUCAAUGCAUUAAGACACCCAGAGUCUUAAGCAUUUUUUGGUUAAUUACAACCUGUUUUCUCAUCACAUUUCUAGAUUCUAUGUAACAGAUGGUGAAAAUGUCUAUUCUGAAGGCCUAAAAAGUAUUCCUGUUCAAGAAUAGUGGCUAUUACCCAGCAUCCCCUGCGCAGGAGUUGGAAUACCCAGGGCUGGGUGCAGGAAGAGGGGGCCACACAUGAGGCACCAGGGUGGAACACAGAAAGCAAAUCCUCAGGGUGCUAACAAGAAUAGAGGGAACUCCCAGAGGAAUUAAAAGUAACCCCUACCAGGAACCUAGGGAAAUAAUCUAUACAGAGAAAGAAACGACUUGUUUGAAAUUCAUUCACACUGGCAGGGUCAAUAGAAAAAUUUCAAUGUAAAUAACAGGAGGCCUUAAAUGCAUGUUUGCUGAAUGCUGAAGGAUCUGGGGCAGAAACUAUGCAGAGGUUUCUGCAGUGGCCAAAUGUUGCCUCUUAUCACAGCAGAACAGCCAUUAAAAGGGAAGCCCUGGGAACACAGUGAAUGUAGAUGGAGCCAAUCAGAUACCCCUGUGAGAGAUUUUUAAAGAUUUUUUUGUUUUUAUUCUCCUUGUAGUCCAUUUGGAUCGGAUAAGAUUUGGGAGACUGAUAAUUUGCCAUUAUCUUAACCUCAAAGUUGAAGCAACAUUUAAAGGGAUUAAUGUGGCUUUUCUCCCUCCCAGGGGCAUUUUCACCUUCACACCACCGACUCUUCAUUUGUCAUCAGCAAGCUGGGGACAAUUACUCAGAAGACAAUGGCAGCAGCGCCACAGCACCGUGGGUUUAAUGCUAUUUCUGUCUCUAUAAAAUCUUCAAUAAUUUGUUUACGACUUCCAAAAUUCAACAAUAGUGUGCAAAUGCAAUUCUACUUAUGUUAAUGUGUACCUCCUUUUCUCAUAUCAGAUUCUGAAUAAAAAUUAGGCAAGUACUCUGUUUUGAAAAUAUAUAAGAUGUGAACUUCCUGGGGGGCUGGGGGGACCUCCAAAUGCACUAUCCUAUCAACCACAUUUUUUUUAACUUAAUAACUUAAGUGAACUGUUAGUGAAAUUACAACCUGCUUGUGACACAGUAAAUUUACAACAAAAUUCAUUCCAUAAAUUAUUCAAUUCCAAGACUGCAGUCAAGGAGAGAAAUAUCACCAGGAGCAGGUGAUUAGCAUGUGAAAGGAAAAACCCAUCUCCCUGCAGAAACAAUCACUGUCAAAGCUUCCUAUUGGAGUUUUGUAAAAAUUACUGUUAAGAACACACAUUUAAGGCUUUGUAGUUCCUAUAAAAGGGCUAAGUAUUUGAUUUACAUUAGAUUCGUUUGUUCUUUCUUCAACUGUCUCUUUCUCCUACAAACCAUAACUGCCUCAAUAAAUGCUUGCUCAAUCAAGUGUGCAUUAAAACAAAAGAAUUUAACUUCAAUAAAAGUGAUGAAUCAGGGCCAG
rnacentral:lncRNA from 1 species